rnacentral:rRNA from 1 species
GAUGAACGCUGGCGGCGUGCUUAACACAUGCAAGUCGAACGGUGAAGGCGGAGCUUGCUCUGCUGGAUCAGUGGCGAACGGGAGAGUAACACGUGAGCAAUCUGCCCCUGACUCUGGGAUAAGCGCUGGAAACGGCGUCUAAUACUGGAUACGAGCUGCGAAGGCAUCUUCAGCAGCUGGAAAGAAUUUCGGUCAGGGAUGAGCUCGCGGCCUAUCAGCUUGUUGGUGAGGUAAUGGCUCACCAAGGCGUCGACGGGUAGCCGGCCUGAGAGGGUGACCGGCCACACUGGGACUGAGACACGGCCCAGACUCCUACGGGAGGCAGCAGUGGGGAAUAUUGCACAAUGGGCGAAAGCCUGAUGCAGCAACGCCGCGUGAGGGACGACGGCCUUCGGGUUGUAAACCUCUUUUAGCAGGGAAGAAGCGAAAGUGACGGUACCUGCAGAAAAAGCGCCGGCUAACUACGUG